ensembl:lncRNA
CGGACAUUGAUGCUAGUAUUAAGUGCUCUCGCGCCGGCUUCUUUCUAAUGCUAUUGUGAUCGGUACGGAGUCAGAUGUUGUCUGGUGAACGCUACGGACGACGGGGGGUGUAAAUUACGCUACGUGCAGCGAAUCGGGUUACAGAUGCGCCGUUUACCGUCAGCGAGGGAAGACAAGUGGGAGAGGGCCCUGCCAGUGGCGCAAUGAAGAAGGAAAUGUCCAUUCUAAUAUCCUGUCUGGGGCGUCUACUCUCUCUGUCGGCCUCACUUCUAUCUGUGGAUCUGGAUGGAUCGAGUGCGGGGAAGACGCCGCCGCGCCGAUAUCUGAUGUUCUCCUCGCUCGCUCUCUUUUUGUAUUCAGCGUGGCAAGGACACGCAGCAAAUUACUAGGGAAAGGAGACGCACAUCCUUUGUGGUCUGUUUAGGAAUAAAGUCCACGGAAGUGUGUACAGCAAGUGUCAUGUGAAAAAGAAUGAGUUGCAUUAUAUUUUUUAAAUGACAAAUGACAUGCGGCAAUAUGUCCACUUUGUUACUUUAAUAUUACAAUAACCAGCUCCACCUGUCAAAAGUCCAUUAAGCAAGUUGAAUUUCUGUGGGCACAUUACUUCUGAAACAGCCUCCAUUAUAUAAAUGAAAUCCCAUUAUUAUUUUCUAUAUAUGUCAGAGACUAAAUUACACACUGUAGUAGGACAAGCGAUUUACUCAGCAAAAGCUGACAGUGCUCUGAAGAUUCAUGACCACGACCCCGCUGACCUGUGA